UCUCCCAACACUAAACUGGACUAAUCUAUGCCAAUAUAGAAGCAACACUGUUAAUAUGAGUAACAAGAUUUAAAUCUCCUAGCACAAGUAUAUAUCAGAACAAAUACUUUACUGAUAGUUAACGGCCAAAUAAAUAAACCCCGCUAUAAAACAUUUAUUCUUCCACCGUUAACCCAACACAGGAGUGCACUCAAGGAAAGAUUAAAAGAAGUAAAAGGAACUCGGCAAACACAAACCCCGCCUGUUUACCAAAAACAUCACCUCUAGCAUUACUAGUAUUAGAGGCACUGCCUGCCCAGUGACAGUUGUUUAACGGCCGCGGUAUCCUGACCGUGCAAAGGUAGCAUAAUCAUUUGUUCCCUAAAUAGGGACUUGUAUGAAUGGCCACACGAGGGUUUAACUGUCUCUUACUUCCAAUCAGUGAAAUUGACCUUUCCGUGAAGAGGCGGAAAUGUACUAAUUAGACGAGAAGACCCUAUGGAGCUUUAAUUUAUCUAUUCCAAUAGAAUAACUAAUAACCCACACAGGAAUAACAUUUCAUUCUAACUGGAUAGAAAAUUUCGGUUGGGGUGACCUCGGAGCACAAACUAACCUCCGAGAAUCUUUACCAAGACUAACAAGUCUAAGUAUAAUUAUAUUAAUUGAUCCAGUCUAACUGAUCAACGGAACAAGUUACCCUAGGGAUAACAGCGCAAUCCUAUUCUAGAGUCCUUAUCGACAAUAGGGUUUACGACCUCGAUG
rnacentral:rRNA from 1 species